rnacentral:rRNA from 1 species
GAUGAACGCUGGCGGCGUGCCUAAUACAUGCAAGUCGAGCGAACAGAUAAGGAGCUUGCUCCUUUGACGUUAGCGGCGGACGGGUGAGUAACACGUGGGUAACCUACCUAUAAGACUGGAAUAACUCCGGGAAACCGGGGCUAAUGCCGGAUAACAUGUUGAACCGCAUGGUUCUACAGUGAAAGGCGGCUUUGCUGUCACUUAUAGAUGGACCCGCGCCGUAUUAGCUAGUUGGUGAGGUAACGGCUCACCAAGGCAACGAUACGUAGCCGACCUGAGAGGGUGAUCGGCCACACUGGAACUGAGACACGGUCCAGACUCCUACGGGAGGCAGCAGUAGGGAAUCUUCCGCAAUGGGCGAAAGCCUGACGGAGCAACGCCGCGUGAGUGAUGAAGGUCUUCGGAUCGUAAAACUCUGUUAUUAGGGAAGAACAAAUGCGUAAGUAACUGUGCGCGUCUUGACGGUACCUAAUCAGAAAGUCACGGCUAACUACGUG